UCGGGAAUUUUGGGCAAUGGGCGAAAGCCUGACCCAGCAACGCCGCGUGAGGGAUGAAGUAUUUCGGUAUGUAAACCUCGAAAGAAUGGGAAGAAUAAAUGACGGUACCAUUUAUAAGCUCCGGCUAACUACGUGCCAGCAGCCGCGGUAAUACGUAGGGAGCAAGCGUUGUUCGGAAUCACUGGGCGUAAAGCGCAUGCAGGCGGAUCGUUAAGUCGGGGGUGAAAGCCCGAGGCUCAACCUCGGAACUGCCUUCGAUACUGGCGAUAUUGAGUCCGGGAGAGGUGAGUGGAACUCCGAGUGUAGAGGUGAAAUUCGUAGAUAUUCGGAAGAACACCAGUGGCGAAGGCGGCUCGCUGGCCCGGUACUGACGCUGAGAUGCGAAAGCGUGGGGAGCAAACA
rnacentral:rRNA from 1 species